rnacentral:ncRNA from 1 species
UGAAUCCCGCCUGAGUAACUGUUAGCCACAGGCUCAGUAUCGAGUUUUGCAGGCGACGUAUAGACAUCAUCGGUUGAAGUCGUCGCUUGAAGCGUACACAGAAAGGUAGUGAGGAUGAAGCGAUCGUAGGUGGCCCUGCGACGCUGAAUGGAUGUUAGCCUCGAAAUUUGGUAACUGUCGGAUUCUGCCCAAGGCUUGUGCAUUCCUGAAGGCAACAUCGCUCGCAGCGCUAUCGGCAAGCUGCUAGCGGAGACCCGGGGUCGGCGGCCC